AGGAUUGUUCCAAUUGAAUCUUGAGAGACAAUAUGCUCCCACCCCAAAAAGCCCUAUAAACUAUGUGCUGGGAAAUAAAGAUUUCAGAUAUUUGACAACCUGAGUUAAGUCUGGGCUGUCGUAUCUCCUGAUCAGAAGCAAACCGGAUAUUCGUUGUACA